rnacentral:misc_RNA from 1 species
AAAAGUAUCAACGGCUUCGAGAAGACCAAAUCUUGGAUAAGGGCUUCUUCGUCCCAUCAAUGCAAACAUGGCUUCAAAAAUUGGAGGCACCUGGGUUGAAAUAUCUUCUUCUGUGCCUGAAUUAAAGUCAUUUUGAACCGUUUCAUCAUGUUCUUCGUUAAGUUCUUCAACGAAACCACCGUUACAAUAAGGGCAAACUACGUCUUCUCCAUCAAGCCAGAAUGAAUGGUUGCAUUGAUAGCACCAAUGGGUGUCUUCACCAAUAGAUGACAUCUUCCUCUCAAAUGCAACAGUUGAAAGAAAAGCCCAGGUUUAUUCCUAGAUGUAGAGAAAUCGGAGCUGAAGUAGGAGCAGUGGAAAGCUAGGGAAGAAGGAGAAACAAGAACAGUGGGUGAAGAUUUG